AAUUGCAAUCCCAGUACAUUCUACUGUUGAAGCUGCCUGUGCUGCUCAUCCAACAGCUGAUGUUUUCAUCAAUUUUGCUUCUUUCAGAAGUGCUGCUGCUUCCUCCAUGUCUGCUCUAAAACAGCCAACCAUCAGAGUUGUGGCUAUUAUAGCUGAAGGUGUUCCUGAGUCAGAUGCUAAGGAGCUGAUUGCUUAUGCAAAGGCAAAUAAUAAGGUGGUUAUUGGUCCAGCUACUGUUGGAGGUAUUCAAGCUGGUGCUUUUAAGAUUGGUGAUACUGCUGGAACUAUUGAUAACAUCAUUCAGUGCAAACUUUACCGACCUGGAUCCGUGGGAUUUGUCUCAAAAUCUGGUGGUAUGUCUAAUGAAUUAUACAAUUCAAUUGCUCGAGUCACUGAUGGAAUUUAUGAAGGAAUUGCAAUCGGUGGAGAUGUUUUCCCUGGCUCUACCCUUUCUGAUCACGUUUUGCGCUUCAACAAUAUCCCACAGGUUAAAAUGGUGGUUGUUCUCGGGGAACUUGGUGGACGAGAUGAAUAUUCCUUGGUUGAAGCCUUGAAGCAGGGAAAAAUUAACAAGCCUGUUGUUGCCUGGGUUAGUGGAACUUGUGCUACGCUCUUCAAGUCAGAAGUACAAUUUGGUCAUGCGGGAGCAAAGAGUGGUGGCGAAAUGGAGUCUGCACAAGCAAAGAAUCAAGCACUCAGAGAUGCUGGAGCUAUAGUUCCAACCUCGUAUGAAGCUUUUGAAGGAGCAAUCAAAGAUGCAUUUGAAAAGCUAGUUGAAGCAGGAAAGACUACUCCUGUAAAGGAAAUUACACCUCCUCAAAUACCUGAGGAUCUUAGCACGGCAAUUAAGAGUGGGAAAGUUCGGGCCCCAACUCAUAUCAUUUCCACAAUAUCUGACGAUAGAGGUGAAGAGCCUUGCUAUGCUGGCGUACCCAUGUCAUCCAUUGUGGAGCAGGGACUUGGUGUUGGUGAUGUAAUAUCCCUCUUGUGGUUCAAACGUAGCCUACCACGUUAUUGCACACGUUUUAUUGAGAUUUGUGUCAUGUUGUGUGCUGAUCAUGGUCCUUGUGUCUCUGGUGCACACAAUUCCAUUGUAACUGCCAGGGCUGGAAAAGAUCUGGUUUCCUGCCUUGUUUCUGGUUUGCUGACUAUUGGUCCGCGUUUUGGUGGUGCUAUUGAUGAUG
rnacentral:misc_RNA from 1 species